AACCAUCAACGAGGACCUUUCUUUUCGGAGAGAGGCUUUCUUGUUGGAUUGUGGAGUGUGCUGGCUUGUUCAGCUCCUCUGAAAUGCAUUAGCGAUGUGGUGUUCCACCUGCUUGAGCUUGCAUUGGCAUUGAUAGUCAUUCAUGUCAGAGUAGUUCAGCUGUGGAAAGGUUCACUUGCUCCUAAUCGUGAUGGACUCUCUCCAUCCUUUGACCC
rnacentral:misc_RNA from 1 species